GUCACGAUAGCUCAAGUGGUAGAGCAUCGACAUUCGGAGCCGAAGGUCGUGGGUUCGAAUCCCACUCGUGACA
rnacentral:tRNA from 1 species